rnacentral:lncRNA from 1 species
AAAGGGAACAAGUAUGUUCUAUUUGUGGAAAGAAAUUUGCAUCUAAAUAGUUGGGUAGCUGAGCAAAUAUUGUACCAGAGACUGCUAUCUGUCUACCAAAUUCCAUUCUGUCCUUCCUUUAUGGCAAAUACAGAUUAAGGUAAGCAUAUGUCUUUUUUUGGCAGAUUACAUCUCCUUAGAGUCUUUUGCAGAUGGUAAUGUAAUGUGAUUGCAUUCUUGAAAGUGCGAUGUGAACAACAUUGCUGGAUACAGUUUCUGCUUCACUUGUUUGAAGAUAAGCAAAAAACAAAGCCUGAGGUUGGAAUGCUCAAUAGUAUGGAAGAAAAGGAGUAGCAGGGUGCCUGGAGGUGGGCAGAAGUGGGCACAGGCCAAGCCAGUCUUGGUGCAGACCCUGAAUUUUGUUUUGCAAGAAACAUCUGAGCCAAGUAAUGGUCUCCUGUGAGGUUUGUUUCCUGGAGGAGUCCAGAAAGAAGCUGUUCUCUGCUGAACCAUGGGUCAAGGAAAAUGUUGACAGAACUAUCAACUCUCAAUUUCCUAAACUUGGCAGGGUUCAAACUUCCAAGACAAAGCUGAUAGUGUCAAGGUAAACAUGAAGGUUUUUAAUAUGGAUACCAAUCUCUAGGAAGGGCAUUAGGAAAUCCCUCAGUUAUCACGGUGAAACCACCAUCACCACUCAGCUAAGGUGCAAGUAGCAAUCAAGUCAUUCCUGAUUAUCUCAACCAGCAAUCAAGACUUUCCCCUGGGAUUGGUCUGACCUCGGAAGACAAUGAGGCAAGUCCCAACAAGGAGGAGCCAUCUGCUCGGACGGCAGGGUAGAGAAUAUGACAUAGACUGGUGCACAAAAGCCAUUUAAGCAGAACACUAGGGAGAGACCUUGAGGUGACUUCCACAGCCCAGUUGCUGUUUCUUUUUUGAGAAAGUGAGCAAUGGCCCGAAGCUAGAAAUGCAAAAUGCAUCCCUCAAUAUAAGUAUUCAUCACACACCUAAAUCUUACAUUUUAUAGUUGUCAGACAUUUUAGCUUUCACAAAGUCUGAGUUUAGAUUUUGAAAGGUUUUUCACAACUUUGAAGUGCAUUUAGUAAAUGUAUAGUCUAAUUUUAUCCAAACUAUUAGCUCCAUACCUACAGAUGGCUUUGAAUGUACCAAAAGAAUUUAUUUUGCUAGAUAUGAGAAGUGGCUGGUUCCUCUGACAUGGCAACCCUGUAGUUGUCACCUCUUGGGGAGUUUCACAGUGAAGUUAGUUGUUGUUAAAAGGAACAUCAGAAUUCAGCUGGAGUCUUGGAAGAAAAUCAAGUUUUGUCUGUUUGUACAAAGAUAAAAGUCAGUGUCAGAUUUCUGAGCUCUUUAGAUUAGAAAGAUGUUUGGACUUGAAAAAUAAAGACCCAAGAGAAGGAGGUGUUCAUAUUAGAGCUGCUAUGCUGUCAUGAGAGGAUCUCUUAGAUCUCUUAUAGCAGGGUCAUUGGGGAGGAAAGAAGAUUAUCAAUGUGACUGUCAUACUGAAGGCAAUUUUUAUCAAGGUCCAAAAGUAAAUUUUCAAUAAAUAAUCUGAUUCUUGCUAAAUGACUCACAAGGAGGUGGCUUUGAUUCUCACUCAAGUAAACAAAAAUUCGAGACAGCAUAGGCAAUGCUUGUUGAAUUUACUUGGAUGAAACUGUUUAUUUGAAAUAAAGCACAAAGCUAUUUUCUUUUUGCUGCAUUGUGGGUGCAAUAUCCAUAUCAUGACAUUAAGUAGGAGAGGAAUGGAACUAUGGUAUUGCUGUGGGUCUCUCAGAGUGCGAGAGAGAUACUACAGACAAAAGAAAGUUCUAAACGUUAAAGAAGUAAGUUUUAAUUUUGCUGCUUGAAAUUGUAGUAAUCACUGAUAGGUACUUAAUUUAAAAUUAUUUUUCAGUUGAACAAAAAGGGACUAUGCACAAUAUAUAGCUUAAGAGUAAUAAGUUAGGGGGCCGGGGAUUUAGCUCAGUGGUUCCGGCGCCUGCCUUGCAAGUGCAAGGUCCCGAGUUCAAUCUCCGGUACCCAAAACAAAGAAUAAUAAAUUAGGAAAGUAAGGUAAAAACUUAGAGUUGCCUCUCUCACAGAUAAUAUUUUUAGCUUGAAGACAAUCUGACCAAUGUGAGGUUCUGGGAAGUUAAAAAGAGCUUCCGAAAUGAAAUGUUGCUGAGACAUAUAUCUUAACUUAUAGUUUGCGAGAUUUGUUUUUUCCCCUGAUGAUAAGUGAGGAGAGAGCAACUGGAGAAAAGCAAAGAUAUGUUUCAGUUGAGACUAUGCCAGAACAGUGACUCACAGCGUCCUAAUCAGGCAGGCAUGACAGCUCAUUGAAUAAGGCCCACCCCACCCACCCUGGAAAUUGUUCUUUGCCCAAGCUCAGCA